GGGAAAGGAGGCGUGAACGUUUACACCGGAAAAGGUAAGCAUGGCGGAGGAACCGCCGUGAACGUUGGAAAGGGAGGUGUACAUGUGGACACCGGCAAGGGUAAGGGAACACACGUGAGCGUUAGCGGUGGAAAAGGUCACGGCGGAGGCGUCGGCGUCCACACCGGGAAGCCAGGAAAGAGAACCGACGUAGGAGUUGGCAAAGGUGGCGUUAUAGUGCACACGCGCCACAAGGGAAAGCCGGUCUACGUCGGCGUGAAACCAGGACAUAACCCUUUUGUGUAUAACUAUGCAGCGAGCGAGACUCAGCUCCACGACGAUCCCAAAGCGGCUCUCUUCUUCUUGGAGAAAGACAUGGUUCCCGGAAAAGCUAUGAACCUCAGGUUUAAUGCGGAGGACGGCUACGACGGCAAAACUGCGUUCUUGCCGCGCGGAGAGGCGGAAACGGUGCCGUUCGGGUCUGAGAAGUUCUCGGAGAUCUUGAACACGUUCUCGGUGAAACCUGGCUCGGGAGAAGCUGAGAUGAUGAAGAAAACGAUUGAGGAGUGUGAAGCGAAAAGAGUCGGUGGAGAGGAGAAGUAUUGUGCUACGUCUUUGGAGUCGAUGGUGGACUUUAGCGUUUCUAAACUUGGCAAAGAUCACGUCCGUGCUGUCUCCACUGAGGUACAAAAAAAAAGAAACCAUAAACUAAUCAAAUCUAUUUUUCGGUAUAGGAUUAGAUGAACCGGACUUGAGCAUAGCCAAAUGAAGUAGUUUUAAGUUUCUAAUUUUUUUUUGAGUUAAUAUGUAUAUAUAUGAAGAUAAGCCUUUAAAUUGUUAAUGUUCUUUUGCUAAACCCUUACUCAAUUGUUUAAGCGUCCCAAAAUCUUUGAGUCGACUAUGUCUGAUUAGACUUAAAUUUUGACAAAAAAACAAGAAACUAAAUAAAAUAUUUGCAACCAGAUUUGGUUAUGCUCGGUUUUUUAGGUUUUCGCUUAUAUUUGGAUUCCGUUCUAUUUCAGCUAAAAAGACAUUUAAGUUUGGUUCGGUCUAGUUUCGUUUUGAUAUAAACGCCUAUAUUGUUUUAUGUCUAUAAUAUUCUGGUUGAUCGAUGUGACCUUGGUUUCCACAGGUGGCUGAGAAGAAUGCACCGAUGCAAAAGUACAGAAUCGCAGCGGCCGGGGUAAAGAAGUUGUCAGACGACAAGUCAGUGGUGUGUCACAAACAGAAGUACCCAUUCGCGGUGUUCUACUGCCACAAGGCGAUGAUGACGAGCGUUUACGCGGUUCCCCUCGAAGGAGAGAAUGGGUUGCGGGCCAAAGCGGUUGCGGUAUGCCACAAGAACACCUCGGCGUGGAACCCAAACCACUUGGCCUUUAAAGUCCUUAAGGUGAAGCCUGGGACUGUUCCAGUCUGCCACUUCCUCCCUGAAACCCAUGUUGUUUGGUUCAGCUACUAGAUAUGCUUUUCUAUAUUAUGUAAUAAUGUAUACGAAGAUAUAUAUUCUGGGAUGUUUUGUAUGUAUACAUAUAUAUAGUAAUGUGUGGUUUUGAAUCUUUUUACCUCUGUGUAGCGACACAAGGUUCGGAAGCUAUGUCUACGGUCUAACAAAGCAAGUGUGAAGAGUUUUAUCUCCUGUGUUUAAUCAUCAAGAAUUGUACAUGGGAAAAAAAAGAAAGAACGAAUUGUACAUGAGAAGGAGAACACAUAGAAAAGAGUCACGAGGUUUUGAUAGUUUCUAUAAUACAGUGCCAUACAAAGAACAUGUCCAUCCAACCCCGACCAAUUUUAAACAGUAGACUCAAUUUCUCCAAAUACAAUUUGCAUGCGAUCAAAAUCCGCAGGAGAUCAACUCACAGCUGUUUAGGCACAUAUACGAACCAAACUCGUGCAGCUCAAACCGUUAAGAAGGAAACAAAAAGAUUUGAUCAAAAGAAAAGAAAAGAAAAGAAGAGCAAAGUAGAGAAGGAAUAAACGCAGGGUGGGAGAAAGCCAUCAACCUCCUGCUUGCCUUAUUAAGCAAUUGGAUAAGUUGGUUAGGAACAGAAUCUCCUCCUUACGACAGCAAGCGGGAGGUAGAUAUGAAAAGGCCAUGGAAGUAUGGUUUGGGAGUAGAUGAUUUUUUCAUUGUUCCUUUAUAAGGUACUAUAAAAGCCUAUAGGUUUUGGUAUAUAAAAAAUAGCAUUAGGUUGUACAAAGGUUUUUUGAAGGGAAUAAAAUUUAAAAUUCUUAAAAAAAAAAAAAAAGGUAGAGAAGGAAACCAAAAGAAAGCAUUUUCAUUGGUGUGUUGAUUGAAUGGAAUACAAAGCGUUACGGUGUUAUAAAAGAUUAUGCAGAAAACGACGCCGUAGUGCGUUGAGAUAUGUGACCGACCGUUAGGACAGCCUAUUUUUUAAAAAUAUAUAUGGAUAUUCAGACCACAAGGACAUAAAGAUAACUCCACUCGCGGUGGCGCGUGGUAAUUAUCACAACAUCUCUCUCUCUCUCUCUGUGCGCAUCUUUGUCCCUCCCUCACUGUGUCAGUACUCUCUCUCUUAAAAAAAAACCUCUCUUCAGUGGAGAUACAAUGGGGUGUGCGCAAUCUAAGGUCGAUAACGAAGAAGCGGUGGCCAGAUGCAAAGAGCGGCGAAACGUAAUCAAGGAAGCGGUCACGGCGAGCAAGGCUUUCGCCGCCGGCCAUUUCGCAUACGCCAUUGCGCUAAAGAACACUGGAGCCGCUCUCAGCGACUACGGCCACGGCGAAUCCGACCAAACCUUGGAUCUCUUGGAACAGAGCCGUCUCGAGAAACAGAGUGAACGCGCCGCGGUGGUGGAUCCCGCUCCUCCUCCGCCUCCGCCUAUAGAGAGUCUCCCUCCUCCGCCUCCGCCUCUCCCGAAGUUCUCUCCUUCUCCGAUCAAACGGGCCGUGAGUUUGCCGGCGGGUAUGGCGGGUAGAGGAAGGAAGGUUAAGGGUGGUGUUGAUGAUAUGGCGAUUGAGGAGGAAGAUGAAGAAGAAGAAGAUGAGGAGGAGGAGGAGGAGGGUGUUGGUAAGGUGGAGGGGGAGGAAGAGUCUUCGCCGAGAACGCCGGAGAAUGUUGGGAAGGGUAGAAAGAGACAAGAGACGCCGGAGAUUGUGAGUGCGUCGCCGGCGAGUAGCUUGGCUUGGGACUACUUUUUCAUGGAGGAGAAUGUGCCUGGGCCUGACUUAGAAGAUAGGGAAGUGGUGGGAAACGGGUUUGAGUCUCAGAAGAAUCAUAACUUUCGGUUCAAUGAAGAGAUAGAAGAAGAGGAGGAGGAAGAGGAAAAAGCUGGCAUGUUCCGUAAGAACUCAGGUCACAUUGGUGUUGAGGAAAUGGAGCCAAAGACACCGGAGAAAGUUGAAGAAGAAGAGGAGGAGGAGAAAGGUAGAGGUAAGAAUAAGAUUGAGCAUGCCAACACUGCUCCACCGGAGUUCCGGCGUGCGACCACCGCGUCAAACGUGAAUCUGAUGAAGAUUCUGGACGAGAUUGAUGAUCGGUUCUUGAAAGCGUCAGAGUGCGCCCAGGAGGUUUCCAAGAUGCUGGAAGCAACAAGGUUACAUUAUCACUCCAAUUUUGCUGAUAACAGAGGUUGUAAUUCAACUCCUCUUCUUUCUCUCUCUUAUCCUUUUUUUUUUUUUUAUCGAAUCAUCCAUUUUAUUAUUGUGUUUUCCUAAACCCAAAAUACUCACACUUUCCCCAAGACACGAUUUUGGAAUGUUCUCUCUGGUUACGCCUUUAUUACAAGGCAUUCUAAGACAAAACUUUGGUUACAUUUUUUAGGUGAUUCAUAAUGUAUCCGUGGUUUAGAAAGCUUGCUUCUUUGUUUCUCUAAUUGAAACUAGGAAAAAAAAAAAUAACCAAAAGUCUGAGAAAAAAAAAAAAAGAGUUUUCUUUUGUAGAUCCGAUCAUGGUUUAGUGUCUGCAAUAUUCCUUGUUGCACUUUUUUGGCCUCUCUACUUUGACAUUUGUUUCUAGCUUUUGUGAGAAUCCAAUAAUGAACCUUAAAUUAAUAGAUCUGGUGGUUUUCUUAAUUGUUUAUUCGCGAUUUGACUAAUCAGCACCUUUAAUAAACCACCCCUUUUCUUGCUUACCUUACCAGAGAGUGUUGUUUCGUCUAGGGCCAAAAUCUGAUGAACUUUUUAAUUAUGUUACCUGCAGGAUAUGUUGAUCAUUCCGCUAGGGUGAUGCGGGUUAUAACUUGGAACAAAUCACUAAGGGGCAUUUCAAACAGCGAAGGUGGGAAAGAAGAUCAAGAAUCAGAUGAGCAUGAGACUCACGCCACAGUGUUGGACAAAUUGUUAGCAUGGGAGAAGAAACUCUAUGAUGAAGUCAAGGUAGCUAGCUGAUCAUUUGUCUCUAGUACCUUACGUGUGUGAAGGAUAUGUCUAGUUGAAUACAUUCUUUUUUCUUUCUAAAGCAAGGUGAGCUUAUGAAGAUAGAGUAUCAGAAGAAGGUAGCAUUACUCAACAGGUAUAAAAAAAGAGGUGCGAGUGCAGAAACCGUGGAGAAAACAAAGGCUGCCGUGAGCCAUCUCCACACUAGAUACAUCGUUGACAUGCAAUCCAUGGAUUCAACUGUCUCUGAAGUAAACCGUUUAAGAGAUGAACAGUUGUAUCCAAGGCUUGUCUCCUUAGUCGAAGGGUAACUUCUCUCUCUCUCUCUCUCUCUCUCUCUCCUUCAAAUUAGCCAACUAAUUUUUCUGAACGUGUGACACAUCCCUUCUAGGAUGGCGAAGAUGUGGUCAAACAUGUGCAUACAACACGACACACAACUAAUCAUUGUCGGAGAGCUAAAAUCUCUCGAGAUCUCGACUUGUCAGAAAGAAACAACAAAGCAGCAUCACCAGCAGACACGGCAGUUCUGCGCCGUCUUGGAAGAAUGGCACGUUCAGUUCGAAAGGCUCGUGACGCAUCAGAAGCAGUACAUUAACUCUCUAAACACCUGGCUGAAGCUAAACCUUAUCUCCAUAGAGAGCAGUCUCAAAGAGAGAGUUUCCUCUCCCCCAAGGCCUCAGCAUCCGCCAAUCCAAGCCCUUCUCCACUCGUGGCACGACCGUCUCGAGAAACUACCCGACGAGGUGGCCAAAUCGGCCAUCUCGUCGUUCGCAGCGGUUAUCAGAACGAUCCUGCUUCAUCAGGAGGAGGAGAUGAAGCUGAAGGAGAGAUGCGAAGAGACGAGGAGGGAGUUUAUUAGGAAGAAGCAAGGGUUUGAGGAAUGGUAUCAGAAACAUUUGGAGAAGAGAGGACCAGUGGAGGAGGAAGGUGGGGAAGAUGAUCAUGUGACUGAGAGGAGAAUUGUUGUGGAGAGUUUGAAGAAAAGGCUUGAAGAUGAAGAAGAAGCUCACCAGAGGCAUUGUGUUCAGGUGAGGGAGAAAUCUCUGCAUAGUUUGAAGAUCAGAUUGCCUGAGAUCUUCAGGGCAUUGUCUGAUUAUGCUCACGCUUGUGCUGACUCUUACGAGAAGCUCAGAAUCAUAUCUCAGGCUCAGAAAGCCACUUCAUCUUCCUGAACCAGUUUUAGUUCUUUUUAGACCCAAGAAAAGAUGAAAACAUGUUUGAAUAGUUUUGUAGUAGUUGUAACUUAUUAGUGCUGUCUUGCAGAAACGUUGGUAAAAAUAGUACAACUGGUUUGAGGAAGUAAUAUUUGAACCCACGCCCUCUCACAAGGACCAGAACUUGAGCCUGGCGCCUUAGACCACUCGUCCACCUUGACUGUUACCAACAUUUUUGGACAGUGAAAUACAGAUAAUGAAACAUCAAUACAAUAAUAUGGACUAGUCUAAAACAUCUCCAGAGAACACAAUUCAAGAAACAAAUACACAAGGAAACUUUAAAAUACUGAGCAUCCUAUAUAGGCGAUAGUGAGCAAGUAAGAUCUACAUUGUUGGGAAUGUAGUACAUCCUCAUAGAACAUAAGAAAAACUAUCCCGGCUCCCAAGUCCUAAACCCUCUGCGGUCUCUCCCUCCACCAGCAUCCAAAAAGAGACAAAACGAUAACUGGUCCUUUUACCAUUUCUUCAACAACAUAGACGUUUGUUUACAAACUAGCAGAGAGCUGAGUUCCUAGUUAGUCUUUGCCUCAUCCUGUUUUUGGCACGAAACUGGAUCUUUUCCUCCGAGUCUUCCUUGCUUUUCUCGAUCUCCUUCACAUCACCAUUGUCGCUUUCAGGUGCUCCUUCCUCUGUUUUAGAAAUAUCACUUUGUUGCUCUAUUCCUUCCUCGUCAUCUCUAUCCGUUUCACUGAUCAAGAAAAGAAGUGAAUGAUGAGUUCCCUCCCUCAUGCUAAAGAUCUUCACUCAGACCCACUCAAAAUAUUUUUGAUUUUUCCAAGUUCUACAACAACAGGUGAGAGGGAUCAACAGUUUUCACAUUCUAGUUCAUCAGAUUAUCUGAGAAUUGAUUUAGCCAAUUGAAAAUACUAACUAAAACUAGAUAAGCUCCCUUAACAAAGCAGUCAAGCUCUUACUCUGUAUCCUCAACAGCAUCUGUGAUCAUUUUGUCAUACUCGUCUGCGUAAUAAGAUAUGCAAACUCAUAAGCCACGAGUAACGGGAUCAAAUAAGAGGAAGCAACACAAGUAAAAUGACUUUACCAAAGGUGUAAGUAACAGGCUUGCGGUUACGACAAGAACGGGUAAAGCGGAUAGGACGGGAUAUGUUGGCACUAACGAACAUCUCUUGCCUCAUCUUCUUUUUGAUGGCUCUUUCUUUUUUCUGUUAACAUGAUAUAGCAGAUGUGCAUAAGCGUAAAGAACAAAGUUGAGGGAUGUAGCUAACAGUGGAAAACGUACUUUAUGAAAUUUCUCAACAACGGGUAUGGCAUCUGUCUCAAUCGUCUUGCCGACAGCAGCCAAAGAAGAUGAUUUGCUUGAUGAUAACUCUCUCUGCCAUUACAGCAUAUCAGUAUCAUUUUUUUCAAAAAAAAAAAAAGCAUAUCAGUAUCAUUAAAAAAAGGAAAUGAAACCAUUUAAUAAAUCUUAAAGACUAGAAGCAGAAACAAAAAAUCGAAAAGCUUACAGCAACUCUUUGAAAUUCAUCUAGAUUGGUUGCUUCAGUUUCCCAGCAGAAACAGGAUGCAUGUGAGAACACAUUCUUCCUCGCUUUGGCGCUUUUUGAGAUUUCAUUGACUUCCUUAUAUAAUCUGUACCCCAGGAUGUCAUUACCAUCAAACCUAGAACAGAAAAAAAACAAUUAAAGUUAGUCAAACCCAAAUGUAAAAAUAUCGAAAGACGUAAAUAGGACAUGUAAUGUAACUACCAGUAAGAAGUCUUCUUUCCAUCUCCUCCCAACUUCCUUUUGCCGAAACAUGGAUUCAGAGCUCCUUCAUUGGCAUUAUCUUGAAUAUACUUGCGAGCAUCAUCUUGCUAUAUCAUCAACCAAUGGAAACAAACAAACAAACAAAAAACUUGUAAGAAAAAGUAGCAAAUGAAAUGUAACCAUAAUAUAUAGUUCAAAUACUAAAUUAAAAGAAGAUAUUACUUGGGCUCGAAGCUCACAAAGUGCUUUCAGAAACUGCAGGCGAUCAGUAGGGUCAAGUCCUUUGUAUCCAGAUAUUUCCUCCCUAACCAUAAAGAAGAGAAGAAAGUUGUUACCAACACCAUAAGCAUUACAACCUGAAGCAAUAAAUAAUGCGCAAGAUUUAACAUCAUUUAACCAAUACCCUUUGUUAGCGGUUACAGGAAUUUCACCAUUGGCAAUCUGCAAUAAUGGUAUCACAUGAGUCAAAUAAGGAAAAACCAUAACCUGUUUCAAAAACAGAUAUAAACAUACAACAAGUUCCACUAUGGGCCUUACCGAUGGCCACCAUGGAUCGAGUUUCUUACACAACGCAGUGAUCCAUGCAUCUCCUCCGUCCUCAAGCGAUUUAUUAUUCACCGGUGGUAUUCCCUGUCGAAAAUCAGAUCCAGGUGUUUUUUUUUCUUAUGGGCAAUAAUAAACAAACUUGUGUGCAUGGUUCACAAAUAAUCAAAAAGAGAUUUUUUUUGUUAAACUUAAGCUAUAGGUUUUUUUUUUCUCAGUACAGCAAAAUAUGUUAAGAGCUCAAUAAUAGAUAAAGUCGAGACCUUUAGAAGUGCAAUGUGAAGCUGAGCAUUUGUAGCGUCGGAAUCGAUGAUACCCAUCUCAAUCUCUUCAGCUGUUACCUUUAAGUUUUCCGAGAUAAGUGGUCGAAAGACCUGUCACAGCAACAUCCAAAUCACAUGACCAAUGUUAGAAACGUUUACUUCUCAGUUGAAAUUUAUGCAACAAGCAGCGAAAUCUCUCACAAAAGCCCUGGAAUCUAAACACGCAAAGAGGUUCGUUCAUACAUUGAGGAAGUUAAGAACGGAAGCAAGUUCCCAGCUUCCACGCAAGUGCUUUACUGCUGCGUCUGAGGGCGAAUCCUGGUCGUCCGACAGAAUCGUCAAGUCGUCGACGCAGUUUUCCAACACCGGUUCGGGUUCUGUGGUCGCGACCGUUGGUCUCUGGCGGAGAGUCACCAUAUUCAGAGAGGGUGAGAGAGAGAGAGAAGAUGAAAGGGCUUUGUGGGGAGUGGGAAUAUUAAUAAAUGGAGAAUUUUUUUUAGGAGAAUUCUCCCGCCCACUGGAGGGAUGCUUUCUACAAUUUACUAUUUUACCGCUCAGCCCCACCCCCAUCCUAGGGUUAAUUUUUUUCCCUUUAAUUCCUUAAUUCUUAAAAUUUUAGUAUUUUACUUUUGCUAAUACGAGAUUGUAGUUCAACAGCUGUACAAUUUCUUUCUUGAACCGUAGAUAGUUUGAUUCCUUAUAAUAUAAGUAGUAUCUCCAUACGAAUCAUGCAACCGUAUGGUCAAACAUCUCUGGUCAUUGUAUAUUCGUUAAACUAUAUAUACCACAUGUUCAACAAACCCUUGGACAUUUAUUCAUUGUUAUUUAUUAUAUCUUUCACUUCAAUCCGAAUAGGCGAAUAUAAUUAACCAUGAGGUGUGUGUGUGUGUGUGUGUGACUGUAGAGUCAUCCACUUGUAUUUUCUGAAUUCACCACUCCGUGUUAAAAGUUUAUGGUAAUAGCAAACGUCAAAUCUAAAUACAAAACCAAGCCAGUGAAUCUUUUUUGGACAUUUUAUAUUAUUUCUUUACCUGAUGAAGUUUUUUUCUUCCUAUAGAGCAUGCUUCCCCUGAUCCCCUCCUACAUGAGACAGGAGGAACCGUUUUAGGUAUAAAAAUGAAUUUAGCAGUUCCAUGUCAAGAUAAAGAGGAGAGUUUAAAUUCUGAUCAGUACCGCAUCUAGCUAGCCUCGGUUGCUUAACAUGUCAAGGAUGGUGUAAGCAGCUUUCUGGAACUGUUCUUUCUCUUCCUCGAGAACCCUUUUCUUCUCCAUUGCAUAAUCCUUUGAUUUCUCAAUCUCCUCCUUUAUUCCAACUGAGUUUUGAUCGAUCUCACUGCAUGGUUUUUUUUCCAACCAAGAGAAAAAGAGGUAAUGAAUAAGAGCACUCAGCAGUAUCCACUAGUUAGGUAAUAUACUUACUUGACCAACUUGAGCAUAUUCUCCAUUCCCAUCUGAACUUGCUGCGACAUUUCUGCCAAAUUGAAAUGCAUCAGGGGACCAGUGAUUGCUAGAAAGUUGAACAACAGAAUCUAAACGCAUUGUUCAUAAAGAAAUAUAGAGAAAACAUGUAAUCGUCGGUCUACUCAUGCUAUUUGUAUAAAGCCAAAGGGACACAAAGAUACAGGUAAAAGGUUGCACAUCAAAUCUAAUACACAUUGUUCAAAAACGAACCGGAGAAAACAUUAACCUGUAAUCUCAGUCCCAGCACUUAUCUAAUCCAUGAAUAAAAUAACAUUGACCACGGCUAUAGUAUCACACCUACACUACAGUUAUUUUCAUCUACGAGAGAAGCAACUAACAAUGGCGGUUUCUAAUAAACAUCUCAGCACGAGAAGAAACGCGAAUUCGAAUUUAGAUCAAGCGAUUAAGCCAAUUUUGACAACGAAUCGUAGUAGUUUUUUGCGAUAAGCGAGUAUGAAAACGGAACUCCUGAUUCCUAUGGCAGUCUCCAAAUGUUGCUUAUGAAUGAAAAGAUUAUCGGGAAAAUGGAGGAAACAAACCGAAUACGAGAGAUGCCAGAUCCGAUUCAGCUUGCUGAGGAACCAGCUCCGCACAACUCUGCGCCGGUGAUUCCGCCAUUAUAGCUGUCAGAGAGAUAUUUCGAAGACGAGUGAUGAGUGUAUUUGUGACUUGUUGUGAGGGUGCCGAUUUGUUUGAAGACGAGUGCGAGUGUUUUGGGCUUGGCCCAUUUUAAAAACUCCGGAGCUAUGCCACAACUUUGCAAUUUUGAAUAAUUAAAAAUCAUUAAACAUUUGGAUUGUAAUUAUAAUUAGUUUACAUAUUUACAAAAAACAAAGGGUCUCAAACAUGAAGCUUAUCUCUAUGAUGUAGACACGUAUCAAAUAUUUUCUGAAUAUUUUGUGUUAUUAAGCAUAUAAAUCACCUAAACAUGAUAAAACUUUUAGAAAUCAUAAAUAUUUAAUUAUAUAAUAAUUAAGUAGAAUUAUAUAGUUUGGGUGGUUUUAGAUGGUUUUUUAUAUUUUGUAAUUUAAAUGAUAAGGUUAGUAGCUUGGUGGGGACAAGAGGUGAUCGUGUGAUAUGUGCGGUCAAAUGGUUACCACCGUUCGUUCUUAUUAAUGAACCUGAAAAAGGCUUAACAAACAAGAAUCAUAUAUAAUAAUAAAAUUAUGUGAAGUUAAAAAUAAACACACACAUGCAAAUCUAUUAAAGGAGACAAGUCCUACACUUUGUCCUAUAGAUUUGCAGCUUGCUGUCUCAAACAAAUUCCCUCUGGCUCUAAACAAUCUCGUUUCAACACAUGCCCUUUUCUAGUCUCUACAAUAGAUCGAUCAGUUCACCGGUGGCUGCGAGGAGGAGCCGCCCUGUUAAGCACUCGGAGACGGCUGCGGCGCUGGUGGAAGAGACGGCGCCGAUGGUGGAGAAAACGGUGAUAUCUGAGGUGGAGGAGGAGAAAGAUGGCCUGGACAAACACAGGAAGAAGUGACAGGACUACACUUGUAGGAGUCACAAUCCACGGGCUUCGACAAAAACACCUUACACUCCAUCGUCGACCUCUGCACUUUCACAUCCUUGAGACAGUUCAUCGUGCUAUUAUAAGUCUCUAGAUAACGACACGUUGGUGGUUCUCCAGUGAAGUAGUUAGACCCGUAUAUAAACUCUCUAAGAUUCUUAAGCAAACAGAUCUCCUCCGGUAUUACACCGGAGAACAUGUUACGCUCUACGUUUAACACCUCUAGACUCUCCAUCUGGCCCAUUGACUCCGGCAACUCUCCGACCAGGGAGUUGUAACUAAUAUCCAAAACUGUGACGUUUUUGAGCAGCCCCAUGUCAUUGGGUAGACAGGACUGUAAACCGUUAUCCAUCAAGAUGAUCUCGUUCAGAGUCUUACCCAUCUUGCUGAAACUCGUCGGUAUACAUCCGUCAAACCGGUUCGACGCCAAAACUAGAACCGAUACCGGGGAACUCCCCAUGUUAACCGGGAUUUUACUAGUGAACCGGUUACUAUUCAGAAACAAAGCGUCUAGGUCCUUUUCGAAUAGAGAUUCUGGUAAUCCCCCUUCGAAUUCGUUGUACCGGAGAUCAAGGUAUUUUAACUUCGGUAAACCGAUAACCAAUUCCGGGAAUUUACCAGCGAACCGGUUAUUGCUGAGAUCAAGUUCAAACAAGAGACUCAGCUGAGAAAACCCGAGUGGGAGUGUCCCACAGAACCGGUUCGAGUUGACGUGAAACAGAGCAAUGUCUGUGAGGAGGCCAAGCUCUUCGGGGAGAUGACCGGCGAUAUCUCCAUGGUUUAGAUCGACGCCGGAGACAGUUUUGUUGAUAGAAGGGUCGUCGAGGGAUUCAGAGCAUACUACUCCGUUGUAGUCACACACACGGGGUCCGAACCAGUUUAACGUUAGGUUCCACGGGUCAGAGAUCAUGGUCCGCUUCCACGCUUGUAACGCCACGUAAGCUCUCUCGAGCCGUACGUUUUCGAAGAUGAAGUAUGGAGGUAUCGUUAUUGGGUCGUCUCGGACGUAAAGUUGCCGGGACCCACUAUAAGAAGCGGUUGCGACGCGCGAUAUGUAAAGUAAGAUGAUGGUCGCGGCGAACGAUAAUAGGGUCGGUUGAUAGAUCCUCAUCACAGUAUAAUGGUGUUUAGUUUUGUUAAAUUCACUCUUCUUUCGUUAUUUUUUUGUUUUGUUUUAGUUGUUGAUUUAAGUCUGUGAAAGAGAGAGAUUAGCAGUGAAUGCUACAGGUUCUUAUUAUUAGAUGUGAGAGUUGAGUAAAACAUUAUAUGCAUCGCUAUUUUUAGAUGUUUGAUUAGUCAUUAGUAGAUUGUCAAAUCUUUUUCCUAUUACAUCGUUGGCGUUGACCCAGAUGUCUGAAGGAUGUAUUGUUUUUUAUUCUUUUAAGAGAACAUAAAAACUGUAUUGUCUUUCAUUAUUAUUUUAGAGAUAUUAGUGGAAUGAUGAAUAACUAAAUAAAAAGAUUAUAAGACUAAUCAUUUUUAUUUGGAAUUGACUUGGCAAAUGUGAAUUGAAAAUCAUACCACUAGUUUAGCGUCCAAGUAACCCAAGUUUAACGAAUCAGAGUUAAAAAUACACAUAUAGUAUGUGAUGAUGCUAGUUUUUAGGGAUUAAACUCAGGGGUUUGUUUAUUGCUAAGGUACUGGCUACGGCUUAUUUUAUUUUUUUUACUGUCAUCCUUGGUAUAAAAAUUAGUGGAAAUGUCUAGUUAACCUUUUUUCUUGCUAAAAAAAUGUCUAGUUAACCUUGAUAUUAGACCAUCAUUAAUCUCAAUCUCUUAACUAGAUUUUUAGCGGUUGUAAUUGACGCUUCUAAGAAGAGAUAUAAUUAAAAAAUAUAAUAAAAUAUUCUAAUAAGAGAUAUAAUUAAAUAAGAAAACCCCAAUCUAAUAGACGGUUCUUAACUUUUCUUAGAUUUUAAUUUAAAAAAUGUAAGAACUAUCUCUUAAAUAAGAGAUAUAAGUAGUUUUUUAGCCAAAAGUGUAAAAAAAAAAAAAACAAAAAAUAUCAAAUCAUGAGUUAAGAACCCCGGUCUUUUGACCGGGGUUAAUGAUGCUUUUACUUUUUGCUAACUUGAACUCAUUGGUAGUAUGUCAAAAAUCAUCCACAGAACAUAUUAUAUAUAUCCUUUUUUGGCUUUUUGAGCUCUCUACCGGAAUUCUUUUCCGAUUUGGUUUUGCUUUUCUGUCACGGUGGUGGUGUGUUUCCUUUUUUGGGUCGCCUUUAAAUUUUGGGUGAGAAUUGAUUGUUUUUUUUUUUUUUUUUUUUUUUUUUUUUUGGUGAUUGAAAAAUCAAAAGAUCUGAACUCCCUUUUUCUUCCCCAUUAUUUCUCCCAUUUUCCCAAUUUACUUUGUCCACAUUCCUUAUCGCCUCAUCACUUUCCUUUUUGGUUUCCAUUAAUUAAUCCUUACAUUUCAAUUCCAAUGAUUUCCAUCAAAAUCAUCACUGAAUAUUGCAGUCUUAAUAGCAAUUAUAGGUCGAUUUGCGUAGACCUUCUCCCCAAACUCGACUUGCAUCGCCGUCGGAGAGCCAAGGAGUUGUGUUUUUGUUUGACUGGAAUGGCGGAAAAUCUUCAGAAGGCAAUCAACGCCUUAUCGUUGCACGAUGAAGAACCGGUGGAUCUGCCUGAUAGUCCUAGAUUUCAUGUGUUCGAUGAAAACGCAACCAGUCUUUUGGGAAGACUCUUGAACCCUGAAUGUCAAGCUAUGGACAAGAUGAUCGAGGAGAUGCCUAGGAUAUGGAGAGUGUAUGAAAGAGUCCGUGGAAUCGCCUUGUCACGUGACAAGUUUCAGUUUAUUUUCGAAAGGGAAGAAGACUUGUUGACGGUGUUAAAAGACCGACCUUGGACCUACAAUAACUGGACCAUGCUGCUUGAUCGAUGGAUCCCGUCGCCGCCGGCGAAUUUCUUGACUACUGUGGAUGUAUGGGUUCGAAUCAGUAGAAUCCCAGUGAAUCACUAUCGUCUGGAGACAAUGGACUUCUUAGCAUCCAAAGUGGGAAGAGUGAUUGAGAUCGCUUAUGACCCUAAAGCGUCCCAAAAAGAAGCGUACAUUCGGGCCCAAGUUCGACUGGAUAUAGCCAACCCAGCAAUCGCUAUUAAACCUUUAAAUCUACCAAAGGGGGGAAGAGUGAUCAUCGAAUAUGAAUAUGAGAAGUUGAGGAAACGUUGCUUUCAUUGUCAGCGCUUAACCCAUGAACGUCCAAGCUGUCCUUUCCUCAAAAACAGGGGACCGCUUCCAGCCAAUAAAGACGCUGUUAAAGAUUCACGUGUUAGGGAGAAAUCUGAUGCUAUUGGUGGAAGCUCGAAGCAGAUGCCUUUUCUGAUCGAACAUCCAGUAGUGCCUCCUGGGUUUGCUCCGCUAUUCCCUGAGAUGCCUCAUAAAGAAAGAGACAUGGCCUUGCAGUACAUUUCACAUAGUGAUCCAACGGAGAGACAGGCCAGAAUCACUAGAGUGCAACAAUCUUUGCAACUAGGGUUUGAAGACAAUCUGGGUAGUGCACCGCGCAUAUCUCAUGACAUUAAUAAAGGGAAAGGCCAUGUUUUCAACUUUCAAGAACAUGAUCGUCCAGGUAAACGAGUUGCAGUGACUAGAGAACGUUCAGCCUUCUCUGAGGCUGACUUGAAAUCUGUAAAGGAUCGGACAAGCUUCCCUUCUGACAACCUGGAAGUUUCUUCGUCUUCUUCUUCCCUCGGUCCAACGGUCUUUAGAGUGGGAACCUCUACAGGUAACCUAUCUACCGGGGCUAAUGAGGCUGUUAAGAAAAGUCGUCGUAGACCUCAACGCUGGAAACGCAUAUGCAGUCAGCGCCCUUCAAGUCAGGCUCAGGACUUAGACCAUACGGGCAAGAGAGACAGUCCAGUGGGUGAUGGAGAAGAAUCUACUGCGACUCUUGGUGGGAAUCAGGCUAAGCGAAAGGCUCCUGUGAAUGUUGGAGAACAUUCUUCAAAAUCUCCAAAACCCCUUCAACCUACGGUGGCUUCCGAUUUGAAGCCGCUGCUCCCCCAAUGAGCAUCAUGAGUUGGAAAUGUCGAGGAGCUGGAAGCGACGAGACAGUUCACCGUCUCCGUGAAAUGAGGAGAGAUCAUUUCACGGAUUUUUUAUUUUUGAUGGAGACAAAACAAAAACGUGAGUACAUGGUUGGGUUACAGAAAGAAUUUGGUUACGAUGAGUUACUUACUGUUGAGCCGGUGGGUCUGAGUGGUGGCUUGGCAGUGUUUUGGAAGAGUAGUUUUGAGGUGGAAGUUUUAGAGGUUGAUAAGAGGAUUAUUGACUUGAAGGUGAGGAUGGGUUCUUUGGCAUUUUUCCUCUCCUGCAUAUAUGGUGAUCCAGUUAGAGCGCGUAGGAAGGCUGUUUGGGAUAGGCUCUCUACCGUUGGGAUGGUACGGAAUGAGCCGUGGGUUUUGGUGGGUGAUUUUAAUGAAUUGCUCACUGCGGCAGAGAAGGUUGGUGGUCCAGAUAGACAUGACUCAACUUUCUGGGAUUUUCGGAAUCUGGUGGACAACUGCAAGAUUAAGGAAAUCAAAAGCUCUGGGAACUGUCUAUCAUGGUCUGGUAAGAGAGAUAAUGUUUGGGUGCAAUGCCGUUUAGAUCGCAGUUUUGGGAAUGAUGAAUGGUUCCGACUGUUCCCCAGAGCUCACAUGGAGUAUUUGGAGAUGCUAUUCUCUGAUCAUAGACCCAUUUUGAUCAAAUUUGCAUUGGAGGAAAGAGAAAUGGGGAGAGGCCGCUUCGUUUUUGAUAAGAGGUUAGCAAAGCAGGAAGGCGUGGAGGAGAUAGUCAAGCUUGGUUGGGGGGUUGACGCAUCAGAAAACGAGACACCUUUGUUGGAGCGAAUCAACAGGUGUAGGAGAGAGCUCGCCAAAUGGAAGAGAGUUACGACUGUAAGUGCGAGGAGUAGAAUUAAAAGAAUCAAGGAGGCGCUGGAGAAAGAAAUAUCAAAGACAGCACCUUGCUGGCUGCGGUUGAAAAUGCUAAGACGAGAUUUGUGUAAAGCGUACCGUGAUGAGGAAUCCUUUUGGCGGCAACGUAGUAGGGUGAGAUGGCUUAAACUUGGUGACAGGAACAACAAGUACUUCCACCUCUGUGCCAAAGGUGGCAAGAACCGAUAACAUCCUUUUGCUUAAGGAUUCCCAGGGUAGAGAACACUUCUCUGAAGGAUAGAAUGGUAACAUUGCAGUGGAGUGCUUUCGUGAUAUUUUUACAAGUUCAAAUCCUUGGGACUUGGAAAGUCUGUUUGAAGGGUUCCAAAGUAGAGUGUCUCCUGCAAUGAACACGAUGCUGACGGCUCCAGUACUUUCUGAGGAAGUUAAGAAUGCGGCCUUUUCUAUCAAAGAGGAUAGUGCCCGGGGGCUGAUGGAUUAACGGGCACUUUUUAUAAGCGGUUCUGGUCUACGGUGGGGGCAACUACAAUCCGUGAGGUACAUGGUUUCUUUCAGACGGCGAUCUUACCCGCUGGUUGGAAUCAUACGCAUAUCUGCCUUCUGCCUAAAAUCACUAACCCAUCAAGGAUGACAGAGCUGAGGCCUAUCAGUCUCUGCUCAGUACAUUACAAGAUCAUCUCAAAAAUUCUUUGCAAUAGGCUGAAAAGAAUUCUACCAGAGAUUGUCUCAGACACGCAGGGUGCUUUCGUUAGUGGUCGCCUUAUAACUGACAAUAUCUUGGUGGCACAUGAGAUGGUACAUGCUUUAAGGACGAAGGAUGGCAUCGACUCAAACGUCAUGGCCAUUAAGACAGAUAUGUCUAAGGCAUAUGAUCGCGUAGAGUGGUGUUUUGUGGAGUGUCUACUAGAGAGGAUGGGCUUUGAUAGGAAGUGGGUAACAUGGAUCAGCGCCUGUAUUAGCUCUGUCACAUAUUCGGUGCUCUUAAAUGGUAGUCAACAUGGGUUUAUCAAACCGGAGAGAGGGCUCCGUCAAGGAGAUCCACUAUCUCCAUUUCUCUUCAUAUUAUGUGCGGAGGCUUUGGUGAGUACUCUGAAUCAAGCUGAGUCCUUGGGAAAGUUGAAUGGCAUCCGUUUAUCAAGAGAGGGUCCUGCAGUGCACCAUCUGCUGUUCGCCGAUGAUAGUUUGCUGUUAUGUAAAGCAACAGUGGAGGAAGAAGCAGAGUUAGUAAGGAGGCUGAAACUAUAUGGUGAUGCGUCAGGCCAAGUGAUAAACACCUCCAAGUCUUCGAUAAUCUUUGGCUCCAAAGUUCCAGCUAUGUUCCGUAAUCAAAUGAAAGAGGUGUUGAGUAUUGAUGCGGAGGGAGGUGAGGGUUUCUACCUGGGACUACCUGAAUGUUUCAGUGCAUCUAAGAGUAAGCUUCUAAAUUUUAUACACGAUAAAGUUCAGAAGAGACUCAGAGGAGGGGGUUCGAAAAUUUUAUCUCAAGGAGGAAAAGAGAUUAUUCUAAAAUCUGUGGGGAUGGCUCUGCCAGUCUUUGCAAUGAGCUGUUUCCGGUUACCUAAAGAUCUCUGCGCUAAACUAACGAGCAUUAUGACUGAAUUUUGGUGGGGAGGUGAUGCAGAGAAAAAGAAAAUUGCAUGGGUAGCUUGGAAGAAGCUAUGCAAACCUAAGGAACUCGGUGGCAUGGGUUUUAAGGAUAUUGCUUGGUUUAAUCAAGCCUUGUUAUGCAAGCAGGCAUGGAGAAUCUGGUCUAACCCGCAAUCCCUUCUAGCGAGAGUCAUGAAAAGCAGAUACUUUAAGCAAGGAAACUUCCUUGAGUGUUCUGUUGGAUAUAGACCAUCAUAUGCUUGGAGAAGCAUUAUGCAUGGUCGUGAGCUACUAUCACAAGGGCUGCUUAAAAGAAUUGGGAAUGGUAAGGAUACACAUGUUUGGUAUGAUAACUGGAUCCUUAUGCCUAUACCUAGACCUCCUAGAUAUAGAACAGAUGAAGUAGACCUUACGCUUAAAGUCUCAGACCUUAUUGAUGAGAGGCAUGGAACGUGGGAUGUUCAACGGGUACGUCAUCUGUUUGUAGGGGAAGAUGCCAAUCAGAUUCUGGAAAUGAGGCCACAACUUAACCGUCAUGAUACAAUGGUUUGGGGCUUCAGCAGGNNNNNNNNNNNNNNNNNNNNNNNNNNNNNNNNNNNNNNNNNNNNNNNNNNNNNNNCAGGAGUGGUUUGUAUUAUUCUCAAAGCGGAUACAAGCUUCUGCACCUCCUACAAAUUGUUGGAAAUCCUCUAGCCGCACCCUCCUUGCCUCCUAUUGAGAAACGGCUCUGGUCUAAUUUAUGGAAAGUGAAGACGAUGCCUAAGAUCAGACACUUCCUGUGGAGAGCAUUAGCCGGUGCCUUAGCCGUAGCUGAAAGACUGAGAUCGCGAGGGAUCCCGGUGGAAACGACAUGUAAGUUAUGUCAUGCACAGCCUGAGACUAUUUGUCAUGUGCUCUUCCAUUGUCCGGUAGCGAAGGAGGUUUGGAGAUUAUCAGAGUUUCCUAUGCCAGCAGCUGGCUUCUCUACAAACUCGGUUUUCCUGAACUUUCAUCACCUGUUGGAGACAUGUAAGCGAAGUAGGUUGGAGGAGAGAACUCGCUUGGUAUUUCCAUGGAUUCUUUGGAACAUAUGGAAAUCUAGAAACAAAUUUGUCUUUCAACAAGUGAACGUAGAGGCAGAAGAGAUAUGGAGAAAAAGUCAGUUGGAGUUUGAAGCUUGGAAUGCAGCUAACGUGGGUGACAAGGAAGACAUUGAUGAGAAUGUGGGUGAAUCUGCUUUAGCUUGCUGGCGAAAACCAUAUCCAAGUUUCAUAAAAUGUAACGUUGGUUCGUCUUGGACAGAUGCAAACCAAAAUUGUGGGGUCGCUUGGCUGACACGGAAUCAUUUGGGUGUCUCGCUAAUCCACAGCCGUCGCUCAUACUCAAUGGUGGCAUCACAGCUAGAGGCUGAGUUGCUAAGUUUUCUGUGGGCCGCAGAGAGCCUAUCGACACUGCGACAUAAGAAUGUGGUGUUUGAAUCUUCAUCAUAUUUGGCGGGAGAAGCAUUUUGAAUCCUGAUAAUUUUCCUAUGUUUCAUGGGUUGAUUGACGUGAUAAGAGAGAAGCUGUCUAGGUUACAACUGUGGUCUAUAGCUUAUGUACACAGCAGAGCAAACCAAUGCGCGGAGGCCAUUGCUCGUAGUGUGACAAGGGAUCAGCGGUAUGCUUCGUAUGUGGGGAAAGAUGGACCUUCUUGGUUAUUGCCUAUGAUUCAUGCAGAUGCUGUUCGAGCGGACAAUGGAUACUAAGAAGGAUCUUGAGUCUUGUUUACGGCUCAUUUGAAGCAUUUCAUUAUCCUCUCAACGGUGAUGGAUGCAAACAAAGGAGAUAAUGUUGGUUUUUAGUAGUUUUUUAAUUUCUGGAGUUGGGGGCCCUGUUGGUUUCACCAUACUCUGUUUCUUUCAAGAUUGUUGCCCUGCUUUUUAUAAAUCGAUUACAAAGCGUUAAAAAAAAAAACUUGAACUCAUAUAGGACUCUUGGGUACUUGAUUAAUUUUAAUAAGAAAAUUGUAAUUUUUAUAUGUGAUGAUUGAGCUUAACAUAGUUGUGUGUCUGUGACUUGACGUAAAUUUAGGUUAUAAUUAUUAAUUAAUCAGAAUUGACAUAGUUAUCUUAUCUAUGACCUUGAUACUUAAUACUCCUACAUGUCAAUGAAAUUGAAAAAACGAAGAGCGNNNNNNNNNNNNNNNNNNNNNNNNNNNNNNNNNNNNNNNNNNNNNNNNNNNNNNNNNNNAGCGGUUACACAAGUGCUUUGGAUAGUGUUCAAGAAAAUUCCAAAACAGCAAAAUCGUAAACAAGUAAGAAAAUAUGAAUUCAUUUGAUUUGACAGCUUAAAUUUCGAGUGAUGUCGUAAUGUAAAUUGGUACAGAUAAUCAUAGCAUGAUCUGAUAAAAUAUCAUUUCAUUAAUUAUUAAUUUAGUUUCUUAAUUUCGAUAAAUGGUUCAACUCCGUCGAUGUCUUGGUAUAUUAGAGACUGGUUUAAAGUGAACCGGCGAGAGAGUGUAUAUAAUGGUUUACCAUAUUAUUCCCUUUUUAUUCAGACACAGAUACGACGAGUCAGCCAGUUAUUAAUAGACACGUCACCACACCGGAGAAAAUAUCAGAGAGAUGAAGAAUAUUAGAGGAAUAACCGGGUCAAGGAUAAGAUAAUUACGUUUCCAAACAGACCCUACCGUGAUGCGGACCUUCAAGUAAACGCUUCUUCUUUACGAUAUAAUAAGUCCAUUAUUGAGAGUUUCGAUCGUCUCUCGAUCUUCUUCAACGCCUUCGAUUGUUUUCUUCUUCUGGUAAGCUCCUUUUCUCUCUCGUCUCUGCUUCGCCGUUGACGUGAUCGCAACGAUGACGCUCGUGUUCGCUUCUGUUUUAUUCGUGAAUCAGUUUCUCUAGAUCAUAUAAUUUCUGAAGAAAAUUUCAAUAUCCGUGUAUGUAGUCUCGCGAUCUAUGUUCAUGUAACAGCAAAACAUCGCGUUUGACUCGAGAAUCGUUUCCGGGAAGCCAUGUGUAGUAUCGAUGCCUUUAGAUUGAUUUUGACCUAAGACGUUACGAAGAACAAGCGAAGCUUUAUCAUAUUAUCAGAGAUUCGUUUUAUAUCUGUUACGAUUAUCUCUUUGUGGAUCAAUGUAUGGAGCGAAACAAAUCAUUCUGAUUCGGAUUGGUUCUUCUGAUUGGAAUCAUUUUUGGUUUACUGUAUGAUUGGAGUAAUCAGUUUGCUCUCUUCUUUGUUUCAGUACAACACUUAGCGAUGAAGCCAGGAGGAUCAGCAUUGAAUCCCCACGCAGCAGCUUACGUACCACUCUCCAAAAGAGAGGGUGCUUCUGCUUCUGCUUCUGCAAAGCCUGCUGCUGCUUCCACACAUCACGUGCAGUACCAACCCUAUGUAGCAUAUGGUUAUGGAGACCAAAGUUCUCAAAUGUACAUGCCAAAGACAACAUACUCCUCUGACAAGCAGUUGAGGGAUGAGGAUUUGGAGAUGGACAUGGAGAUUGAGUACCUUUCGGCCACGUUCUCCGAUUUGUCAUAUGAGUCUAUCAGUGAUGUCUACUUGGCCAACAAUGGUGAUCUUGAUGCAACUAUCGAAAUGCUGAAUCAGCUCGAGGUAAUUCAUUCACUACUCACCUUGCAUCAUCCCUGCAAUAGCAAAGUUUGCGAGUUUUAACCUUUCGGUGUUCCAUUCCUACAGAUUUACAGUACUGAAGCGCAAGAAUACCUUCCAGACACACUGGACAUUGGCGAUGUACCUGAAACCACUGCGCCUUCGACUUCCUCAGCUCCAGAACAAAAGAAUGUGAGUAAUGAAGCAAGUGCAUCAUCAACAUCCUCGGGUACCCUCAAAGCUCCUGUGUCUUCCUCCUGAUUUGAUGAGUCCUUAAAUGUGAAGUAUUAUAAAUUUCUUGCAAUGGAUAUGAUAUCAUAUGAAGCUUGAUGGUUAUCUUAGGAGAGAUCUCUUUGUAUGUUUUCCUCAUCCUCCCCUGCUUUGUUUCCUGAGGAGAGAGAGUACAAAAAUGUAUAGCUAUUUUUUUUGGAAUAUUACGAGUUUGGGUGUUGAGAAUUGGGAUUGUUUUUAUGGUGGACAAAAGCUAUGAAUCAAUAAUAGCCUUUCUGCUCUUUUGCCCAUUUAUGAGUCUUUACUCUCCUCUUUUGCUGCUCAAUAUUACGACUUAUGAAGUGAUAUAGUAUGUUGGCUUCGGUACAUUCAUUUUUGUUUCGUAUUCUAAUAUUUAUCAAUGUAACCGAUUAUAUCCAUUAAUCAUUUGAGUAACCUGAAACGUUUGUUUAUACUGUCAAUGUUAUAUAGUAUGUUUAAGUUCAAAGGAUGGAAUCUAAACACAAAUUUGAGCUAUUUGCCUGUGGGUAUGUAAUAUAAUAAACGUAUGUGCAGCUAGCUACAUUUGCGGUCCUAUGGUCUCUCUCUCUCUCUGGGUACUAUUAUCGGAAUCAUCUAAACACGUCCUUCCUUGAAAAAUAAAGGUGUGAGAGAAUGGAGGAAAAUAGAUUCCGUGAAUUUCUCUGCACGUGUGUUUAAACCUGCUCAUAAUAUAUGAUUUAUAGCAAUUAAGAUCAUCUGUGAUCUUUUGUUUUUUCCUCUUUCUACAGAGGAUUCUACUUCUUUGUUCUUGUUAUACACAUUUGUUCAUCAUCUACUGGUGAUAUCUGAUUGUUUCUUCUUGGUUGGUUUGUUCUAUAUAGGAAGAUCAAAUUCAAAGUUUAAAUAGAAUAUACAAAAAUAUGGGUUUGGAUUAUUACAACAUAUUGAAAGUGAACAGAAAUGCAACGGAGGAUGAUCUGAAGAAAUCUUACAGAAGAUUGGCUAUGAAGUGGCAUCCUGACAAAAACCCCAACACCAAACUGGAAGCUGAAGCCAAAUUCAAACAGAUCUCCGAGGCUUAUGAUGUAAGUUUGCGUACUCCCCCCCCUCCCCCCCAUUUUAUACAUUUCCUGAGAUCCAAUCCUUUGGCUAAUAGGGAGUUUCUUGGGAUACAAGUAAAAUGUCUUUCCUCAUUCUGAUUUUCUGAGGGAUUAACCAAAACAUCCUAAGUUUUCAUUCCUUUAUUUUAUUUUCAGCUUCUGAGCGAUCCCCAGAAGCGAGCUAUAUAUGAUCAAUACGGAGAAGAAGGACUAACCGAUAUGCCCCCUCCAGGGAGCACUGGAAACAACGGAAGAGCCAACGGUUUUAACCCUAGAAAUGCAGAAGACAUAUUUGCUGAGUUCUUUGGAAGCAGCCCCUUUGAUUUCGGAUCAGCUGGAAGAUCCAUGAGGUUUCAAUCCGACGGAGGAGGAAUGUUUGGAGGAAGAACGUACAGCGAUGGCACUGUGCCUAAGAAACCUCCACCUGUUGAGAGCAAACUGCCUUGUACCCUUGAAGAGCUCUACUCUGGAUCAACUAGGAAAAUGAAGAUCUCUAGAUCCCUUAUUGACACCAACGGGUAAAAUUACAAGAUCCCUUCUCGUAGUUUCAAGUUUAUCAAUGCUAUUUCUCUGAACAGGAGACAAGGGCAAGAGACAGAGGUUCUGACGAUUGAUGUGAAACCGGGAUGGAAGAAAGGGACCAAGAUCAAGUUUCCCGACAAAGGAAACGAGACAGUGAAUCAGUUACCUGCUGAUUUGGUGUUUGUGAUCGACGAGAAGCCUCACGAUUUGUUCAAGAGAGAUGGGAAUGAUCUCAUCACAAGUACAAGAGUGACGCUUGCUGAAGCUAUUGGUGGAACAACUGUGAGCAUCAACACGCUAGAUGGGCGUAAUGUACCCGUUGGUGUCACUGACAUCAUCAGUCCUGGCCAUGAGCAUGUGGUUACUGGAGAAGGGAUGCCUGUAGCUAAAGAACCUAGAAACAAAGGUGACCUAAAAAUAAAAUUCGAUGUUCAGUUCCCGACAAGAUUGACUACGGACCAGAAGUCCGCACUCAAGCGCGUCUUAGCAGGUUGAACAAGCCUCGAGGUUUUAAAAAUCUGUACAAAUCUUUGAUUGUUUCAAAAGUUUAUUAUUAAAAGGCUCCAUUAUUGUAAUUCUGUUACAAAGCUACAUUACAAGAUGAGAGUGAAGUCAAUACAUGACCUAAACAAAAACACAAACUAAUAUUACAGAGAGGAACAUAAACAUUCACACAAAAUCAAAAUCCUCUGUUCCUACGUGCACUGUACUGUUGUUGUUGCCUAGGUGCGUUUUGAUUGGGUCUCCAUCCAUCUGAUGGUCCAGCACCAUGUUGUCCUUGUGGUCUGGCCAUGGCUCUGCUAUGAAAUGGAGGACCAGGAGGUGGUGGAGGUUGAAUCUGGUGGCCUGAGACUUGAGGUUGCCAUUCAGGAAUAUCGUCAUCGUCAUCAUCCUGACCAUUCCAUGGUUGUUUACCUGCUGAGUUUCCGUACUUGAGUAUGAGCUCCCUUACUUGAUUCAAAGACCGAGACUGAGGCACCACUGCUUGCCGGGGAGAAGAAGUAACCGGUGGUGCAGUGGAGGGAUUGAAGUUAAACUCUGGUAAGUCAUCAUCGUCGUCUUUCACAGCAGCUGGACCAAAUCCAGGUGGCAAAUCUUCAUCAUCAUCAUCAUCUUCACAACCAUGAUUCCCCAUACUAACAGCAACAACAGGAGGCUGAUGAUGAUUCUUUACAUUCAGACUAGUACUAGACUUUUUGUUUACUGGAGCCAACACUGAGCUCUUGGUGCCAGCAACAACAACAGGAGGCUGAUGAUUCUUUAAAGAAGAGUGCUGACGUUUGAAUCCGGGCUUAUGACGUGAGGCAGGAGACGAGACUGCACGCCUCCAGACAACAAGGCCGAUCAAACCGAUGUUGUCUGAAGAUUUGGCCUCAUCGAGGUGGUCCUUGGAGAUGACUUUGCUCAGUAAGUCUAGAGUCUCUCCACGUGAAGGGCAGAGGUAAAGCUCCACGCCUGAAGUUGGCUCAGCGUAACCAACUCUUUGGUCAGCAACGUACGACUUAGCAACCUGACACAUAAAGAAAAGAAAGGGUAAAGACUUUAAUAAGCAGAGAAUAUAAUAAAUGUCUUGACCAGAAUUAGAUAUAUAAUUUUAGAAAAUAAUAGCAAUAAGAAUUAUUAUUACCUCAAAAAGGCUGUCACGCUGGCUCUGAGAGAUGCCAUCCUUACAAACCACGUUUAUUACCUGCAAAAUCCAAACAAAUGGAACCGGUUCAGGAUUCAAUUAUAUAACACUGGUUCCAAAAAUGCAUGCAACAACACUUUUUUUCCUUGAAGGGUUUCUAUUUUGGGUCAUGAUCUACAUGUACUUUAUGGACCAUGUUUUGUGGUCUUGUCACUUUCUGGAAAAGAUUAUUGGCAAGAUUCUAUAUCCUAAGUCGUUAAUGCCACCGAACAAUACAACUACAAGUGAUUUAACAUCCAAAAUUUCGUGAAUCUGUUUAAUACAAAACUUUCAGAUUCAUCAAUCCACAGUUGAUUCUCUCUGUGGUCAAUAAAGGGCUCGUUGUCUUGUCUCACACAUGUAGACCAACCGUGAGCUUUUGCUUUCUGGAAGGCUAUCCUUUUAUUGUGUCUGCAUUGAGAAAUAAUGACUUGCAAUAUUGAGAUAGAGAUUUUUGUGGAUCUUUGAAUGAAUCCCUCUCGUAGUAGUAGUAGAAGUAACAAACAAGAGAGUGAAUUUAAUGAUAAUGCUUCUACUACAAUGAUGAUGCAAGUAGUGAACUUCGAAUACCAUUAAGACACGGCUUCUAGACAAUGGAAGCUCUUGCACAAACUUCCCAAACGCACUCAGUCUCACUCUACCCUUUACCUCCACCAUCGUUGGCCACUCGCUUGUUUUUGCUUUCUCACCACUGCACCCACCAAAUCCAGUCAGACACAAUGUUCAAUAAAACCUAUAACAUCCUAUUCCCAAUUCAAACCUACACUUAGAUUCAUUUAUAUUACUGGUACUACAAAUCCCAAUUCAAUCAUGUGCAAAUUUUCAGAAAUGCUAACAAGAGAUAAAGCUAAGGUAAAUUAGGAGACUUGCCUCUUGAAAAUUCCGGUGACUGAGACAACUGAAGAUGCACUAAGCUGAAGUAGACCACCCCAUAUAUGUUCUUCUUUAGAGCUAGUAACCAAAGGUGCUUCUUCUUCUGGCUUAGAGACAUCAACACCGAGUUUGACACCCACAUCCGGUUUUGGAGAAGUUACAAUAGCCUUUUGGAGUUCUGUUUUAGGAGAAACACUCUCACAAGCUUCCUUUGGAGAUCUCGAAGGAGACUUUAUAUUUGACACAGCUCCAGAGUCAGAUGCAGCCACUUCCUCCUUUACAGCAUUCCCAUGUUGUGGGCUUCCAAAAGGAGGUUCUGUGUUCAGAGACUCCAUGAACUCGUCAAGCGAUACAAUUGGAGCAAGGAAACCCACAUCCUUCAUCUCAUCAUCCAUCGACAAACCUUGCAUUGGAUCAGUCUCCUCCGUCAUGUCUCCCUUGUCAGAACUUGCCUUCUGCGAGUCAUUUUUAUUUAAACUGGACUUGGCUUUGGCUCGAGGUCUACUACGUGAGGUGAUCCCAGCAGAGACAUCCACCAUCUCACUCUCAACAGGAUCAACCUCCACCUGGAACUCACCUUUAUGCGUUUUCCUCACAAGACGACUCACAUCAAUAUCUGCAUCCCUCAGGACAACCAUCUCAGCCAUCUCUUCCGCUUUCGCUUGUCUCCACUGAGAAAGCUCCUUAGAAGCAAGCUCCUCAGCCGUCAUGGAACAUAAUCUCUCCGGAGAGAUCUUCCCGGACAUGACGCUUUCUCUUAGCUCAGGGUUGUUUUUAUCUUUCAAAUUGAAUAAGAGAGAUCUUCCCUUCUCUUUGUACUUCUUGUUAACGCCUCCAAAGAGCUUAUACAGUUCCAACUCUAUUUUAGAUGCCAAGAGGUUUGGAUCCUCGUUCUCCUUUCUCCUCUCCUCAAGAUCUGAAACAGGUUCCAAAACCCAUGAGAGGCCGUUACCCUGUAGAAGCUCAUCGCUGGAGAAAUAACUACCGCUGAAAGGACCAUCGUCACAGGGGAAAACAUCAUCAUAUUGAGUUUUCUGUACAUCUGAUUGGUUAACAUAGUUCAUCUCUGUGUCAUUGGAACUCUGUUGCGGCAAUAUUCUUCCGUUGCCAUCACAGGCUGAGGCAGGUUCAUUACUUUCAGCUACUGGAGCACUUGCUUCAUCAGUUUCUGUAUUCUUUUUCUCUUUGGGAGAUCCCUCGUGCUCAUGAACCAAAGCCAAGGCGGCUGCUAAUGACUCCUUCAUUUUCGAUCUCAAAGACUCGUUUCCUUCGUUUGUUGACCCUUGUGAUGGGCCUGGUUGCUUCUUGUUCAUCACUUGCUUCCUCUGGGAAGCGAGUUCCGUUUGCUUCACUUUCUUGGCAAGCACUGGUGGAUGUUCUGUCUUGGGGGACAGAGUAGUGGAUGAUGGCAUAUGAGCUGGCUCUGAGUAAAAUUGUUCUAGCCAUGGUCUGUGAUGCACUGAUUCUACUCGCUUGUUUGGUUUCUCAGAUGCAGACUCUGGUGGUAACUUUCGCUUCCCCGUCAGCUGAAAUGACCUUGGACUACGACAGGCAGCUAAUGAUCUAUCUAUCGAAUAUCCACGCGGAACGAGAGGUUGCAAACGAGUCUGCAAAGAUUGAGAAUCAGCAAGAACUGAGGAUUGAACAGAGACGCCCUCUGGCUCAAACGUGGAUGACAUAGGAUCAGAGACAGAUGCUUCUACGUUCGACUGAGAAUCAGCAAGAAUUGAGGGUUGAACAGAGACGCCCUCUGGCUCAAACGUGAAUGACACAGGACCAGAGACAGAUGUUUCCACUUUCAACUGAGAAUCAGCCAAAUCAGAGGGUUGUGAAGUGAUGCUCUCUGGCUCAAACGUGAAUGACAUAGGAGCAGAGACAGACGUUUCCACUUUCGACUGAGAAUCAGCAAGAACACAAGGCUGAGAAGAGAUACCCUCUGGCUCAGAUGUGAAUGACGAAGGACCAGAGACAGAUGAUUCCACUUUCGACUGAGAAUCAGCCAGAACAGAAGGUUGAGAAGAGAUGUCCUCUGGACAAGAGACGGAUGUUUCCACUUUCGGCAAGUCCACGUUGCCACACGUUAAGCCGACAGGCUCCUCUUCUUUAAUGUCUGAAACUGUCAUAUCCUGAACAGGAAGAUCGUUGGAUCCUAUCUCAACCAAGUUCGGAUCUUUAAAAGUAUCUGGAUCCGCUUUCAGACUCUCCUCCAUGUUGGUAGAGAUUUGCUCAGCUCCCAUAUCACCAGACAUGAUAAACCACCACAGCUGCUUACUACAACAUUCACUUCAACAGCUGUAUUGACAAGCAAAAGUAAUAUAAAGACUCAGACAUUUCCAAAGUUUAUACUUUCCCAGUAAAUCCGAUCCAAUCCUAAGAACACAUAUAUCAAUUGUCAAACCAAAAAAUUUCAACCUAAGAAAAAAUCUAAACCGAACUAGAUCUCGAGAAUACUAAACAUGACGACCAUACCUUAUAACAGGAUAGAUAUACAGUUCCACCACGAAUCAAUCGGAGCAGAUAGACGCAGAGUGAGAAUCAAACCCUAAGGAUUCUUCUGGAUAGAGUUUCAGCUGUUUCGGUGACAAAACGAAGGAGAAGAGGAAAAAAAGACGAGAGUUCGUGUCUUCUAGAGACAGAGGACACAUGUCAUGUGGGAUGUAAUAUACAUACAAGGCCCAAAAUUAGGCCCAAAACAUAUAUGGGCCUUAGCUACUUAGGAUUCCUUCUUAGAGAAAUCCAACGGUGAGCGUCUUAUCAAACGGACGCUAUAAUUGCAUGAGACAUGUCGUUUUUUUUUUUUACUUUUACUUUUUCUUUUUUUAAUCAACUGCAUGAGACAUGUCGUUAUUGGACAAAACUGCUGUUUUUUUUUUCCGAUAAGAAUAAAAUCCUGUCAUAAAAUUAAAGUUUUGCAAUUAAUUAUUUUUCCUGCAAUUUGAGAAAGGUAUCAUCAUAAUAAGUUUCUCCUCGAUCCAAACUUUCUUCUUCAAUUUUCUCUCUAAAUUCAGAAAAUUUCCUCUUAUACAAUCUCUCUCUCUAAAUAAUGUCCGUGGUGAAUACAGGAAUCAUGAGAUUGAGAUUUGAUGAGAAAGCAGGUAAUGAUUAGGGUUUCCAUGUAAAAUUGGGGAUUACAAAAAGUGGCAACCUUUCUUUCGUUUCGGAUCUAAACCCACAUUCCACGGAGAUCUCUCUCUCUCUCUCUCUCUUUAGGGCUCUUAUGUGGAUUUGAGCUUUCCUCACCUCUUAAUCAAUUCUCUCAUCACUGCUUUCUUGUGUGUGUGUUUGGGGGGGGGGGGAAAGAAUGUACAAGAUAUUCCUGAGGAAGAGUAAGCCUUCAAAACCCGACUCAUCAGAAGAGCUCUCUCCUUCCAGCUCGGAUCCGGUUCAGUUACCCGGAGCCAACGGUGUGGUCUCCGCGCCGCCCGUUCGGUCCAACUCAGGGAAGCGUAUGUCCUCUGCCGUCUUCCCAGCGAGCGUGGUUUCUGGAAUAGAGCCUUUGCUUCCCUUCAAAGACGUACCAAACUCCGAGAAACUGAACCUCUUCGUCAGCAAAGUCAGCCUCUGCUGCGUCACGUUUGAUUUCUCCGACCCGAACAAAAACUCCAUCGAGAAGCUUGUGAAGAGGCAGACUCUGCUGGAGCUUCUUGACUUCGUAGCUUCUGGUUCCGUUAGGUUCACCGAGCCGGCUAUUCUCGCAAUGUGUAGAAUGUGCGCUGUGAAUCUCUUUAGGGUCUUCCCUCCCAGUUACCGGUCUAGUGGCGGUGAGAAUAACGAUGAUGAUGAGCCUGUGUUCGACCCUGCCUGGCCUCAUCUGCAGAUCGUCUACGAUCUCUUGCUUAAGUUCAUCACCUCUCCUUGUCUAGAUGCCAAGAUUGCAAAGAAGUAUCUUGACAAUGCCUUCAUUGUGAGGCUGCUUGACUUGUUUGAUUCAGAGGAUCCUAGAGAGCGAGAGUGUUUGAAGACGAUCCUGCAUCGUGUCUACGGUAAAUUCAUGGUUCACAGGCCGUUUAUCCGGAGGGCGAUGAGCAAUAUCUUCCACCGGUUUGUGUUUGAGACGGAGAAGCAUAGCGGAAUCGCCGAGCUUCUUGAGUUUCUGGGGAGUAUAGUGAGCGGAUUCGCGCUGCCUUUGAAAGAGGAGCACAAGAUCUUCUUGUGGAGAGUGUUGAUUCCACUCCACAAGCCUAAGUCUCUUGGGAACUACUUCCAGCAGCUGUCUUUCUGCGUCACUCAGUUUAUAGAUAAGGAGCCGAAGCUGGGGAGUGUUGUGAUCAAAGGUUUGUUGAAGUUCUGGCCUAUCACUAACAGCCAGAAGGAAGUGAUGUUUCUUGGGGAGGUUGAGGAGAUUGUUGAGGCGAUGAGCGUGGUGGAGUUUGAAAAAGUGAUGGUUCCGUUGUUCUGCAGGAUUGCUUGUUGUGUCAACAGUUGCCACUUUCAGGUUAGGUUUUCUUAUUCUCUCUCAAGUCUUGAAAGACAAUAUAAGGUUCUAAAGUUGAACCAUUUCAUGUGAUUCAGGUCUCUGAAAGAGCGUUGUUCUUGUGGAACAACGAUCAGAUUGUGGAUUUGAUUGCGCACAACAGGCAAGCCAUCUUACCGAUCAUGUUCACUGCCUUGGAGAAGAACGCUGAGAGCCACUGGAACCAGUCGGUGCUGAACCUGACCCUAAAUGUGAGGAAAAUGUUCUGCGAAAUGGACGAGGCUCUCUUCAUGUCUUGCCACGCACGCUUUCAAGAGGACGAGGCAAAGCAAAGUUCUGAAGCGGAGAAAAGGAAAGAAACUUGGGAAAGGUUAGAGAAGGCAGCAAGUGUGAUGCCUAUAACUGGAAAGACAGCUGUUCUAGUAACUCCUUUAGCAACCUCCAUUGCCUGCUAAAUUCUCAGCAGCAAAACAUCAGAAGAAGAUGAUGGAGUAGUUGCUGUCCUUUGUAAUAUUAUAUAGUUAGCUGUGUGGGGUUUAUGCUAAAUCUAUUGCUUCCUUUAAACAGCUUGGAAGCAAUGAAACAUAUAUAUAUCAAACUCUUUGUAUUUAAUUUAAGUUUACAUUGUUCAUCUCAAAAGCACAAAACUUCAUAGACUAAGGUCAUGUAGAUAGAAUGUUUUCCCACGAUAAGUGAUGGUCUUUUCUUCAGCUCCAAGGCACCAUAAAUGUCCUUGCAGGUUAAGAGUCUCUUUCAUUCCUGNNNNNNNNNNNNNNNNNNNNNNNNNNNNNNNUGCUGUCUCCCACACAAACUCAAACAGACCUAAAGCUCUAUCUAACUGCUUAACCCCUCUCCGAACCAUUUUCUCAUCCGCUGAGGUCAAGAUCCUCCCCAUGCUCAAGCAAAAGAACUCCCCCUUCUCCUCCUUGUAGAACCCUCCGCAGAGAUCAACCUCGAUGUCACGCACACUGCCGUAGAGAAAAUACACGAGGAGAGUGAACAAACAAGGCGAAGGACUUCCCAGCAUCUUCGAAAGCUUUCUAUGCACGAGGUGCUCUUGGUGUCUAACCUCUCUGAAUCCAAUAGUGUUGUCCAGAAACACGUCUUUGAUCUGUAGAAGCCCUUCUUUCAUCGACAAAAGCUUCUCCAGAUGGUAAAAGUCAUGCUCGAGGAGGUACCUUCUCAGAUCAUUCACCAUGUCGAGAACAUCUUCCCACUUCGCAGAGGCGCUCGCCUUUGCGUAACGAGCUGGCACAGGCCGCAUCCAAGAAGUCGAGCUCUCGACUUCAUAAGAAACCGAUGACUCGGAUAAGAACUUGAGGCAAGACAAAAUCACUUGCUGGCCCAACUUCGCGCCUUGUGUCUUCUUCUCCUCGCUAUGUUCGAGUAACCAAUCAACUUCUUCCUUGAGAUUAUUCAGUAUAUCUUCGAGAGCACCUCUCCAGAUACGAUACUGAGUCACCUGCGAACACACUGUGCACCUCACCAUCUUCCUCUGCUGCGAAGAGAUGUCAAGAAAGUUGCAAACUUUGGUCAGUGAAUUCACCAGAAACGGCUCUCUUUCGCUUGCAGUACCGAAAGCUAAGCGCCCUCGUCCCUGUUGCUUGAGCUUCUGCUGAAGUGAAGGAGACCCAACGAAGAUUCUAGCUAAAGACUUGAAAGCUUGCAUCUUUUGUUUGAUAGCGUCAUCAUAGACGAUUACGCCAUUGAUGUCCUCGAGCUUCCCAUCGACUAAAUCAACGUCUUGCAACGCACGUGUUAGUUUUGUCAGAACCGAGAGUUUGUUUCUGUACCAUUCGCAAGGCAGUGCUUCUUCUUGGGAACCAACAGAAGAAUGAAACAGGGCAUUGACUGAACGGGAGAAGCGACCUGGGCUUGCCCUGAAACAGAGUAGAGAGUUUAGAUGCCUUGUUAUGUGAUGUACAUUACCCAACAUUUGGAAGCGACUUCUCUAUUGGGAAUUUCAACGAACAGUUUGAAUGCAACUCUUGACCCGAAGAAACAUAGGGUCUUUAAUUCAUCUACGUGUAUGAUUCUCUGCCAAAGAAAUCAAAUUUGGUAUGCGGGAGCAUCUGUAUCGUGAAAAGGAGUGAAAUGCGAUUUGUAAGAAGAGAAGGGAAGCUUCUGAUGACGAGUGAAGCUAUGAGAGAGGAGAUGAGAGAUGGAAGUGCUGGUUAUGUUUGGAUCGUAAAUGGGCCUGAAGAAAUAAGAAUUUUAAAAAGGCCUAAGAGCCUUAAUCAUCGAAUCGAUCACGUAAAAAUGAAGUACAGACAAAAUCUCAUUUGGCUAUAAAACAGGGCAAUUCUCUCAAAGACUUUUUUUUUUAUGUCAUAAAAUAGAGUUCAAAAACCAAAAUAACCAAAAUAGAUUUUUUUAUUUUGAAAAUUUUAAUAUUUUUUUAGUUUUUAAAAUUUAAAAUCAUACCCUCAAAACUCCACCCCUUAACUCUAAACCGUAAAUCAUAAACUCUAAACCCUAAAUUAUAAAUCAUAAACCCAAAUACACCCCUUAAUAAAACAUUUUGGUCAUUUUGAUAUUUGAGGUUUAUAUUUGUGAUAAAAACUUUUUUAGGUAUAUCAUAGGAAAUUUCUCCUUUUUAUGUAUUAAUUAUUUUUUUUUCAAGAAAAAAAAUUAAAGAUGCAUCUAUUAAAAACACAGACCUAACAUUCGGGUGUGAGGUACAUCCCACGGAUUUACCUUCUUCCGGAUAUUCAAUGGACCGAAAAUCUUCUCUCGGGUAUUCAAAUGAACUGAAAUGCAAUAGUCUAUAUCCGUGGAAUGUGACCAGAAAAAUAUGACUUAAUUUCGCAUGACAAAUGGAUCGAACUUAAAAUUUGGUGACAUCUUAGAUCCUUCCCCUUACCACUGCCACUUGACCGCAAGCUCCAGUCUUUAUAUGUUAAUUAUUGUUCAUCGAAAUCCCGUAAUGUGGUUUCAUAUACAUGUUUCUUCGUAAAAAUAUAUUUCUACACAUAUUCACAAAAACCAUGAUUCUUUUCUUACGUAACAUGAUAAUAAAAUGUAAUGUUUUUGUUGCGAAUCAUUACGUUGUCUCUUUAGCAUUUUACCCUUUAAUAGUGAUUUAUGCAUUAGAAGUUCGAAUCUUCUUCUACAUAUUUUUGUGUCAUUCCUACGGAUUUUCAGUAUGUUGUUUUAAAAUAAUAGAUUUUCAUAUUAUAAAAGAAGGUAUAGUAUUUGAUCAUGUUUAUUACCUUUCAUAUAAAAAUUAUAAGAUUCUUGAGUCGGACUAAUUAAUUAGAUCUAAAAAUGUUAAAUGAACCUCUUAACUCCUGCGGAUAAUUCGAUUUUUAGGUAGAAUUGUACAUACUCCUGGCCAUGACAAUUGCAUACUUUGCAUAAAGACGUAAAUCAUUAGGAAGAAUGUGACAAAAGCAAAAGAUAUAAGAGCUUAGAAAGAUGAACAUGCUUGCUUUCUUUUAUGUGGGGUAAAGAAAUUUUUUAUUACUUUUGGAAAAAGUUACUGAAAUUUUCCCCAAAUUUACGAACUUAGUAUUGUUUUUAGUGUUUUGUAAUAAUAAGUUGUUUAAAAUUGUUUUGUGAGGGUGCUUUCUAAAAUGGAUAAAAAGUUAGCUUUGCUAUUGCUUUUUGUUACAAAAAUUUGACUUUAACAGUUGAAUUUUUAUUUUUUAACAAGUGAUGUACACUUUACUUAUUAGAAUUGUCAUCGAGGGCUUCUCUCGCUCAUAUAUCACUAAGAAACACUGAUUGCGUAGUUUAUAUUACUUAUUUAGUCGGUAAUCAUGUUUUAGUUAACAUGGAUUGUGGAACUAUGACUAAAGGUAUAUAUAAAAGAGUCCCACGUAUUAGAUGCGCCAUCUAUUAUUCUCCGCCAACACUCAAGCAGUGACUCCAGUUGACAAUAAUUUAUAAUUUAAUGAUUUCUUAUUGAUCUUUAGGUAAUUGUGAACUUAUGUGUUUAGUUAAGCUGUAUCAACAUGACUAUGCUAGUAUAAGAAAACUGUGUUUAACUUCAUAGAUCAAUUAUUUAGGAGUUAUAUAUGCAAUACUAUUCAGAACAGCUUUAUUAGUUUUUUUCUUCUCGUCUACAAUUUGUUUUCCUAUAUAAGUUCAUAUAGUGAUACUAACAGCACUGCAUAUUAGUAAUUAGGUUAGGGCUGGGGGAAAAAUACUUUUAACCAGGAAUCUGACUCAACCUCUAUCAAAAAAAAAUCUGAUCCAGUUACCAAAAAAAAAAAAAAAAAAAAUCUGAUCCCGAAUUCCCGAUCCGAUUUGUUUCUAGAAAAAUAUCUGAAAGGAGCAUGACACUAAACAUUUCGAAAAUCAGAUAGUACUCGGUCCAAACAGAAACUCAACCUAGUAUCGUAAAAACUAUGAAAUAAACUAAAUUCAUUAAUUAGUUUUGGGUAAUCUAAUACAUUUGAGUACUUUCAGAGAGAUUGAAACGCUUUUAUACUGGAUAUUCUGAUAAUGCAGAUUAUUGUAGAAUAGUUUGAAUAAGUUUAUAUCAUAGCUUUUGGAUAACUCAAAUAUCUGUUGCCCAAAAAUAAGGAUAACUCAAAGAUUAUUUUUAAAGGAUAACUCUAAUAUCUUAAAAAUAUAUAUAUAUUUUUUUUGUUCUUUCGUAUAUAAGUUAAAUUAAAACAUGAUCUGAACCAAACAUAGGAAAAACCAAAUUAGAUUAAAAAUAAAAGAAUAUCCAAAUUCGAUUUAUGAAUAUAAACUGAAGAAUUGAUAAACCAAACCGAGACCCAAAUUCCCAACCUGAUAGGUUAUGAACUUGAUUGAGCUUGUCUUUGAAAAUGUAUUUAUUUACUGCAAAUCAAAGGGUUCAAAUCUCAGUGCGUGGCAUUAAAGCAAUGUAUGUAAAUCGAAUAUAAUUGAUGGUUUUGGAAUUCAAAGUGAGAAUGAUAAUACCUAAGACGUACUUUCACUUCACUAAUACCAAAGAAGAAUAAAAUGAUGAAUUAAACUUAAAGUGGAGAAAAAAACGAAAGAUUCUUUUGUAAAAGCCAAUUAGUGCAACCUUUAACGGAAAAAUAAAAGCCAAGCACUGGAUUAUACUAGUAGCAGACAUUAAAGACGGGUUGUCUUCUUUUUUGACUCGUUUGAUGAUAAUCUUAAGUACACCUCUAUGAGGUCAAUGAAUGAGGAAUCCUAUGCAAAAUGCAACGUGUGUAUGGACACGUGCGUAAGCUUGUAAUAUCGUUCUUAACAAGCAAAUCUUCCCGUAAGGAACAGUAUAUAAAACAUUUAUGAAUCAAAACAUCCUUUUUAUAACCAAAUUCAUUGUAAGGAAAAAACCUUAAUAUACAAUAGUUAAACCUUUUUAGACGUUAUAACUCCAACGAAAUGUUUAUCAAAAUUAUUUUAAUUAGAAGUUGGAAAUUAAUCAAAACGUCAAAGAAGCGAUAUGUACGUUUUUUUAACCACUAGUAUUAUAGGAAUGCUAGUAACAGAAUAAUUACUUGGUCAGCUUGCCAUUCAAAUUACUAGUGACAACAUAAUUACUUGGCCAGCUUCCCAUUAAACUAAAGAAGAGAACUCAAAGAAUUUUAUUUUCUAUUUGGUGGUCAACCCAUCCUGAUCAAGCCACCUCAUAAUAGGAAUGCUCGUUCAUAAUAUAUAUGCUCAAUUCAUGUCUGUCCACCUUUGAGAAAUUCAAAUUUCAUAAUUAUUCACUCCCUUUUUGAGGCCUUGGAUUGAACAAAAGGUUGUGCUGUGGUCCAUGCAUCUAUCCAUUUCAAACACGUACUGGAAUUGUUGUUUGGUUUAGCGUAAAGAAAAAUCUACAUCCCUCCUAAAAUUUGUAUAAUACAAACUAAUUGAAUAAUGAAAUAUGCAUGCAAUUUCGAUUUUCUGCCAUAGAAACUGAAAAUCUUAGUGUUUCGUACGAUAAACAACUCAAGAGCUUCAAAGUUUGAUGAAAAUCAUAAUUGCGGAGUAAGAACUAAGAAGGUAAACACUUUAUCAAAAUAAGAAUACAUUAAAGCAAACGUACAUAGUAGGAGAUCGAUAUAAGAACAAAACACUUCCUAAUUUUACUUGAUUUGCUUACAUUCAAAGAUAACCAGACAAAAGUCCUACGAGAUAUGAAACGAGACAAAUCAACAUUAAAAAUAAAAACAAAUCACGACAUAAAGGGCCGUUUUCUUGCUUCGGUUCUUCACUAGUUUUAUCUCUUCUAACGUAACCUGCAUCCAAAUAAAAACAAAGGAUAUGUCAAAAUACCUUUUCACUCAUUAGGUCUCAAGGAUUAUAUUAAAUUAAAACAUACGUACGUACCCUUUUGCACGUAAAUUACUAUAUGGAUAUAUAUAUAAGGCACGAAACCAUCGAUCUUUUUUUUUGCAUAUUUUCGGGUUGGUAUGUAUAUAGGACACUAGCAUAUAAAUUUUGAGGAAAUAAGAUGUGUGGCUUGUGAUUAGAAAUUUAAAUUUAUUGUUGAAAUGAAAUUUACUAAAGAAAGUCUAGUAACAAACCAAUUUCUUGAAGAUGACGAAGAAAGUNNNNNNNNNNNNNNNNNNNNNNNNNNNNNNNNNNNNNNNNNNNNNNNNNNNNNNNNNNNNNNNNNNNNNNNNNNNNNNNNNNNNNNNNNNNNNNNNNNNNGGGAAAGGAGGCGUGAACGUUUACACCGGAAAAGGUAAGCCUGGCGGAGGAACCGCCGUGAACGUUGGAAAGGGAGGUGUACAUGUGGACACCGGCAAGGGUAAGGGAACACACGUGAGCGUUAGCGGUGGAAAAGGUCACGGCGGAGGCGUCGGCGUCCACACCGGGAAGCCAGGAAAGAGAACCGACGUAGGAGUUGGCAAAGGUGGCGUUAUAGUGCACACGCGCCACAAGGGAAAGCCGGUCUACGUCGGCGUGAAACCAGGACAUAACCCUUUUGUGUAUAACUAUGCAGCGAGCGAGACUCAGCUCCACGACGAUCCCAAAGCGGCUCUCUUCUUCUUGGAGAAAGACAUGGUUCCCGGAAAAGCUAUGAACCUCAGGUUUAAUGCGGAGGACGGCUACGACGGCAAAACUGCGUUCUUGCCACGUGGAGAGGCGGAAACGGUGCCGUUCGGGUCUGAGAAGUUCUCGGAGAUCUUGAACACGUUCUCGGUGAAACCUGGCUCGGGAGAAGCAGAGAUGAUGAAGAAAACGAUUGAGGAGUGUGAAGCGAAAAGAGUCGGUGGAGAGGAGAAGUAUUGUGCUACGUCUUUGGAGUCGAUGGUGGACUUCAGCGUUUCUAAACUUGGCAAAGAUCACGUUCGUGCUGUCUCCACUGAGGUACCAAAAAAAAAAACAUACGCUAAUCUAUUUUUUUCGGUAUGGCUUGAACAUAGCCAAAUGAAAUAGUUUAAAAUAGUUUUGAGUUAAUAUAUGAAAAUAAGCCUUAAACCCCUUACUCAAUUAUUUAGGCUCUCCCAAAACAAUCGACUAUGUUUGAUUAGACAAAAAAAAAAAAAUAAAAUAAAUAAAAUAUUUGCAACUAGGUUUGGUUAUGCUCGUUGUUUUUUAGUCUUCACUUAUAUUUUCUUUAUAUUUAGUUUGAAUUCGGUUCGGUUUCAGCUAAUAAUAAGAAACAUAUAAAUUGUUUAUACUCAAAACUAGUUGAAAUUGGGGGUUAGGUUUAGUUUAUUUGGUUUGAAAAUAAGAAAGGACAUUUGCGUUUGGUUCGGUCUAGUGUGUCUAAUAUUCUGUCAACGCCUAAUGUGUUAUGUCUAAUAUUCUGGUUGACAUGUAACCUUGGC
rnacentral:lncRNA from 1 species